AUGCUGGACAGUGCUGGACAUCCCUGGUCAGUGCAGGGGAUCCAGGGGCAGAGGGACAGAAGGCUCCUGGUGCUGUCUGACCUGGCAGGUCUCCAGAUGUCCUGUAUUUCCCACAGCAAACCUCAGCUGCUUGGCAGCAUGACAGCAGCGGUGAGGGCCAUCAGGCUUCUCAGUCUUUCCCUGAGAGUCCAGCUCAGCAAAUUAGACCUGUCCUGCACUGACUUGAUAAACCUGAUGUGCUUCUGGACAAAGUUACCUCUCAUCUGUGAGCAAGUGAUUUGCUUAUUUCUCCCACAGGUUGUGAACAUGUGCUUGCUGACCACAUCUACCUUACCAGGAGGCGAAAAAUCAUGGAAUCAUAGAAUGGAUUUAAGAGGAAAUGGAUGGAGAACCCAAGGUACCCAAGCUUUGGGAAAUUCUGGCCCAGGAUCUUAUUCAGCAGAUGAACUUGCAGUGUGCUGCAGCAGAUGUUGUUGGGUGGAAGAGAGAAAUAAAUGA
rnacentral:lncRNA from 1 species